CCCGCACAAGCGGUGAGUAUGUGGUUUAAUUCGAUGCAACGCGAAGAACCUUACCUGGUCUUGACAUCCCGGAGACCCUUAGGAAACUAGGGGGUGCUUCCAUCUGGAAGAAUCUGGAGACAGGUGCUGCAUGGCUGUCGUCAGCUCGUGUCGUGAGAUGUUGGGUUAAGUCCCGCACGAGCGCAACCCUUGCCUUUAGUUGCCAGCAGUUCGGCUGGGCACUCUAAAGGGACUGCCGGUGUUAAACCGGAGGAAGGUGGGGAUGACGUCAAGUCCUCAUGGCCUUUAUGACCAGGGCUACACACGUACUACAAUGGCCGAUACAAAGGGCAGCGACACUGCGAGGUGAAGCCAAUCCCGUAAAAUCGGUCUCAGUCCGGAUUGGAGUCUGCAACUCGACUCCAUGAAGUUGGAAUCGCUAGUAAUCGUGGAUCAGCAUGCCACGGUGAAUACGUUCCCGGGCCUU
rnacentral:rRNA from 1 species